rnacentral:rRNA from 1 species
UGCCUGGGGAGUACGGUCGCAAGGCCGAAACUUAAAGGAAUUGGCGGGGGAGCACAGCAACGAGAGGAGCGUGCGGUUUAAUUGGAUUCAACGCCGGAAAACUCACCAGUGCCGACGGACAUAUGAAGAUCAGCGUGAUGAGCUUAUUGGAUUGUUCGAGAGGUAGUGCAUGGCCGUCGUCAGUUCGUACCGUAAGGCGUUGCUGUCAAGUCAGAUAACGAACGAGACCCCUAUCGUCUAUUUGCUAAACGGAUCUCCGGAUUCGUCGCACUAUAGCGAGACCGCUGGCGUGAAGUCAGAGGAAGGUGGGGGCAACGACAGGUCAGUAUGCUCCGAAUGCACUGGGCUACACGCGCGCUACAAAGGCCAGGACAAUGGGUCUGCCACGCCGAGAGGCGGCGCUAUCCCGAAACCUGGUCGUAGUUCGGAUCGAGGGCUGUAAUUCGCCCUCGCGAAGCUGGGUCUCGUAGUAAUCGCGUCUCACAAACGGCGCGGUGAAUACGCCC